rnacentral:sRNA from 1 species
GCUGGGUGUGGUGGCGCAUGCCUGUAAUCCCAACUACUCAGGAGGCUGAGGCAGGAGAAUCGCUUGAACCUGGGAGGUGGAGGUUGCAGUGAGCCGAGAUCGCGCCACUGUACUCCAGCCUGGGUGACAGAGCGAGACUCUGUCUCAA